rnacentral:rRNA from 1 species
GAAUUCCUGGUGUAGCGGUGAAAUGCGCAGAUAUCAGGAGGAACACCGAUGGCGAAGGCAGGUCUCUGGGCUGUAACUGACGCUGAGGAGCGAAAGCAUGGGGAGCGAACAGGAUUAGAUACCCUGGUAGUCCAUGCCGUAAACGUUGGGCACUAGGUGUGGGGGACAUUCCACGUUUUCCGCGCCGUAGCUAACGCAUUAAGUGCCCCGCCUGGGGAGUACGGCCGCAAGGCUAAAACUCAAAGGAAUUGACGGGGGCCCGCACAAGCGGCGGAGCAUGCGGAUUAAUUCGAUGCAACGCGAAGAACCUUACCAAGGCUUGACAUGAACCGGAAAGACCUGGAAACAGGUGCCCCGCUUGCGGUCGGUUUACAGGUGGUGCAUGGUUGUCGUCAGCUCGUGUCGUGAGAUGUUGGGUUAAGUCCCGCAACGAGCGCAACCCUCGUUCUAUGUUGCCAGCGCGUUAUGGCGGGGACUCAUAGGAGACUGCCGGGGUCAACUCGGAGGAAGGUGGGGACGACGUCAAAUCAUCAUGCCCCUUAUGUCUUGGGCUUCACGCAUGCUACAAUGGCCGGUACAAAGGGUUGCGAUACUGUGAGGUGGAGCUAAUCCCAAA